GCCCGCCUAGCUCCAUCAGAUAGAGCGUCAGACUCUUACCUUGAAAGCAUAAUAGUUGUAUACGAAUCUGAAGGCUGCGAGUUCGACCCUCGCGGUCUGUU